rnacentral:lncRNA from 1 species
GGCUUCCAGGCGGCCGGGCUGUCUCAUGCGGACUAACGUCACACUCAUUGCGACCGGAAGUGGCCUUCUGCCGUCAGCGACCGCCCUGCCCAUCGCCGCAGUGUCCUCGGACUGUUUCCGGAGUGAAGAAGGUGAUUUCUGCUCUCAACCUUCGCGUCGCUGGGUCCGCUUCGCGCUUGACAAUUCAGUCUGCUCUGGAGAGGAGCUGAGAGUUUCUCACGUGUCCCACGUGCCAUCAGAAUGCCACCUUCACAGUCGUACAGGGCGUAUCGGCGCUGGAAGGGCUGUGCUUGAAACUAAGGGCGAUCCAAGCACCACACAUGCUGUUGUCCCAGUGCACCGCAGAGUAAAGUAUGUUUUCAAAUGUGCCGUGCCUUUUUCAGAUUCUAAAUUGAGACGAUUCUGA